CGGCGGACGGUGAGUAACACGUGGAUAACCUACCUAUAAGACUGGGAUAACUUCGGGAAACCGAGCUAAUACCGGAUAAUAUAUUGAACCGCAUGGUUCAAUAGUGAAAGACGGUUUUGCUGUCACUUAUAGAUGGAUCCGCGCCGCAUUAGCUAGUUGGUAAGGUAACGGCUUACCAAGGCAACGAUGCGUAGCCGACCUGAGAGGGUGAUCGGCCACACUGGAACUGAGACACGGUCCAGACUCCUACGGGAGGCAGCAGAA
rnacentral:rRNA from 1 species